rnacentral:rRNA from 1 species
AUUUUCUUUAAAUUUAAAGAAUUUGGCGGUAGUUUAGUCUGGUCAGAGGAACCUGCUUUUUUAUCGACAUACCACGUAAAAUCUUACUUAUUUUUGUUUUUAGUUUGUAUACCAUCAUUAUUAGAUGAUUUUUAAAAAAUUAAAUUAUUGAAGAUAAUUAUAUUAAUAAAAUUAGAUCAAGGUGCAGCUUAUAAAUAAGUUAAAGUGGGUUACAAUAAGACUUAUUUAAACGGAAUAAGAUAAGUAUUUUCUUAGGAAGGUGGAUUUGAUUGUAAUAUAAAUUUAAUAAAUUUAGGAGAUAAAAGCUCUAAAGUGCGUACACAUCGCC